UACGAAGGGGGCUAGCGUUGCUCGGAAUCACUGGGCGUAAAGGGUGCGUAGGCGGGAUCUUAAGUCAGAGGUGAAAGCCUGGAGCUCAACUCCAGAACUGCCUUUGAUACUGGGAUUCUUGAGUUCGGGAGAGGUGAGCGGAGCUGCGGGUGUAGAGGUGAAAUUCGUAGAUAUUCGCAAGAACACCAGUGGCGAAGGCGGCUCACUGGCCCGAUACUGACGCUGAGGCACGAAAGCGUGGGUAGCAAACAGG
rnacentral:rRNA from 1 species